rnacentral:rRNA from 1 species
AUUGAACGCUGGCGGCAUGCCUUACACAUGCAAGUCGAACGGCAGCGGGGGAGAAGCUUGCUUUUCCUGCCGGCGAGUGGCGAACGGGUGAGUAAUACAUCGGAACGUGCCCUGUAGUGGGGGAUAACUAGUCGAAAGAUUAGCUAAUACCGCAUACGACCUGAGGGUGAAAGUGGGGGACCGCAAGGCCUCAUGCUAUAGGAGCGGCCGAUGUCUGAUUGGCUAGUUGGUUGGGUGAAGGCCUACCAAGGCGACGAUCAGUAGCUGGUCUGAGAGGACGACCAGCCACACUGGGACUGAGACACAGCCCAGACUCCUACGGGAGGCAGCAGUGGGGAAUUUUGGACAAUGGGCGAAAGCCUGAUCCAGCAAUGCCGCGUGUGUGAGGAAGGCCUUCGGGUUGUAAAGCACUUUUGUCCGGAAAGAAAUGGCUCUAGUUAAUACCUGGGGUCGAUGACGGUACCGGAAGAAUAAGGACCGGCUAACUACGUGCCAGCAGCCGCCGUAA